rnacentral:lncRNA from 1 species
GCCAGACUCACCAAGGGGUGAGGGCAGAAGAGGCCCCCGCACCAGUGCUGAGCAACUCCAAUGCCAGGAGCUUAGGGAACAAAGGGAGAACCCAACCAAGGAGGGAACCAGGAGCAACCACUGCACAGCAGGAGGAAAUAUGAGUGUGCAGCAUCCACAGCCCAGUGAAGCCGCGAGGGAAGGAAGUGCUUGCAGGCAGGGGGAGUGAUCACUGUGUCCAAGAUGCCGUCAAGAUGAGGACUGACAGUCGCCACUGGAUUUGGCAAAGUGUGGACAUUGGUGAACUUGAGGGCAUGGAUAUUGACUCCAGAGUUCACAACUGGUCUUGAGAUUUCAGCUCAGACAGCCCCAGAAAGUGAAGGCAGGCUGACCACCCUCCCUUAUUUUUCUUUCCUUUCCUUGAGGUGUUCCCACAAGGACGUUCCUAGGGGUGCUCUUGUACUGUUGGAGGUGUGACCGGAUAAGUGUGAGUAUGGGACUGCAGGUGGCCUUUGGGAAGCCCUGCAGAGGGGAGCUUGUGGAGGAGCAAGGCAGGGUCCAGAGAGGAACAUAGACUAGAAACCAUUUCCAAGCUGGGUCCAUCCGCUGCUGAAGCUGGAGUCACCCCAUGCCUUGGAGUUUCUGAUUCCAUGGGGCAGCAGAACUCUUCUUUGUGCUAAAGUUUAUUCAGAUUAUGUUUUAAUAACUUGCAACUGAUUUUUUUUUUUUGCAAGUAAAGUCUAGUGUCAAUCACUGCAUAGGGAGGGAGGGGGCUGAAUUUGAAGUCAGCGUCUUUAUUUCCCCAAUUCUCUAAAGACCUGUAGUGCUCUCUACAUGGUUACAAAUCGUAUUUCACACCAGGAUUGCUUUAUUCUCCCACCAGCUUCCCCCAAAUAAGCAGGAAUUGGUAGAAAGCAUUUCAAGAGAUUGUCAUGGAGAUGGAAAAAGUGUUCUAGAAUAGAUAAUUGGAGAACAAAUAACUGUUAUUAUUGGGAUUAUGUUAUCACUGCCUUUGGUGUUUUAAAUAAGCCCUCAGGAGGGGAAACUUUAGAACCAGAAAUUGCUUAAUAGGAGUUAAUCUUUGCAAAUUCCAGGGUGGGCAGGUGGAAAGAGGCUGAGGACUCAGAAUCGUGAGGGUCCCUGCCCCUGUUCUGGCUUUAGAACCACCUGAUGCUGUGAGCAGUGCAUGUGCUCCAGGAACAAGGAGCAGCUAGAGCUUGCCGGGCUUUUUUAGAUGUAGAGGAAAUGAAAAGAACAAGAAAAAGGAAGAGCUUGCAACGGCCUAUUCCCCACUGUGUCACAGAAGAAUUUCCAAACACCCUACUUGGGAAUGCACUUGAUCCAAGGAGUGUGAGCUGGAGGAGAGUGUCUGAGUAGCCCUGGACAACCAUGGGAGGAAGAAGAGACCAAGAAGCGAACAUCUGGGAUGGGUUAUCCCCUGCGUCUGAUAUUCUAGACCGGAGGACUCACACAGAGGAAGGCAGGUUGCUAAGGCACUGUCAAAGCUGCCCAAAGACGACGUGUCAAAGUUGGCUUUCUUCUUCUAAUACAUCUUGAAUUUCAUGGAUGUGACAUUUUAUUUCAAGAGGAAAUCGAUAUUCUGAUCGGCAAAUAGACACAAAUGUUGCAUUCAUUCUCCAAAAUGUUACACCAACAUUACAGACACUUUUUGUCCCCAGCAGGGCAAGAGGGGAUGUUUGAACACAUUUUGCUCAAAUAGAAAUAAGAGGGGAAAGGGGAAGAGAAAGGGCAGGAGGAAAUGGUACGUAAACAUUUGAUUAUGGAAAUGACAGGACAGCUGCCUGCCUUAGCUUCCUACUGGGUCCGCACUUCCUGGAUCAGAGGCAGAGGAAUUCAAGCAAUGGAGAGUGAUGUUGGUUUAAUUACCUGGCACAGCCUAUACAGGCAUGUGUUUUGGUGUGACCUUCUGUGCAGAUUUGCUCAGCAAUUUGUCUGUACUAGGGAAAGAUGAAUAAGUCAUUGCAGCUGCCCUACAAGAGGCCUCCCCUCUUGUUUGGAAUCCCAUCCAGGGCACAUGCUUCUGGAGGAAGACCUCAUUCUUGCAUCAUCCAACCCACUGAGCCUUCCCUUUUAAUGUCAGCAAGAACAUUUCCUUAAUCUGAGCUGCUUAACAAUGCAGAGUCCAUUGACAGGUGCUCUCUGGGUGAGUUCCCAUAGGUGCUUUGCAGAAGGCAUAUUACCCCUUAGGACAAAGGAGUCCAGAGAGGGCAAGGGGCUGACUCAAGAUCACACAGUGUAUUAGUCCAUUCUUAUGCUGCUAAUGAAGACAUACCCGAGACUGGGCAAUUUAUAAAGGAAAGAGGUUUAAUUGACUCACAGUUCAGCACGGCUGGGGUGGCCUCAGGAAACUUAUAAUCAUGGUGGAAGGGGAGGAAAACACAUCCUUCUUCACAUGGCGGCAGCAAGGAGAAGUGCCUAGCAGAGGGGGAAAAGCCCCUUAUAAAACCAUCAGAUCUUGUGAAAACUCACUACUAUCACAAGAACAGAAUAACUGCCCCUAUGAUUCAAUUACCUUCCACUGGGUCUCUCCCAUGACACAUGAGGAUUAAGGGAACGACAAUUCAAGAUGAGAUUUGGGUAGGGACACAGCUUAACCAUAUCACACAGCAAGUAGGUGGCAGAACCUGGAUUCAAACCCAGGUCUUCUUGACUGGGUUGAUGCUUCCCCCAAACCCGGUAGCUGCAGACAAAAGUUGGGGCUCCUUAGAGAGCUCUGACUGAAGGUUCUUCCAGUUUCUUGAACACCUGAUUCGUACCAUCAUUGAUCACCUUUUGAUUCAAGUCUUUGAAAUCAAUCUCCUGAGCAAACUUGGCACCAUUCUUCCUCUUUCCUCUCAUGCAGGUAACAAGGAGAUGAGCAGAGGUGGCCUUGGUCCUCGUCAUGUUGUGCAUGGGUCUUUCCUCUCUCUGCUGUCCAUCCUUUGCAUGUCCAGAGAGUCCAAAAGGCUGAUGAGUGGACAAUCUGGCUCUUCAAGUGAUGGAUCUCAAUACACUUGCUCGAGUUCCUCCCUCCCCAUGAUAAUCCUGUGGCUCUCUGGAAAGGGCUCCUGCCAGCUCUGUGUGCCAAGGCUAGACCUGAGGGUAAGCUUCUUAAACUUGGGGCCAUCCAUAACUCUCAGAACUCAAAAUUCUUGCUUCAAGAAGGAAGAACUGGAGUGGUUAGCAGACCAAAGGGGCUGAAAAGAUUCUCUGCUUGACCAAACUCCAGCCAAGCCCCUGAACCUUCUCCUAGGCUCAUCUGCACACUUCUUUGUGAAAUCCAGUUUUAGCAAGAACUCAACUAAGCUGGUUUAGCCAGAAUCUGCCAUUCUCCAUAUCUGAUCAUCUUCAGUGUCUGAUCAGGUUCCUUAUCCUCCAUUACCCCCUCGGUGAUGUCUGAUCACUUUGGCCUGUCUUCAGUAAAAAUCCUAUUAGGUCAGUUUAUCCCAAACUCCAGAACUCCCCCAGGCUUACUCCUGAUGUUUCCUCUUAGUAAUUUUCCUCCACUGCUUCCCACCCUGCUCCUGGCUGUAAAUUCCCACUUGCCUAUGCUGUAUUUGGAGCUGAGUCUGAUCUGUCUUCUGCACUGCAAAAUUUCAUUGAAGUGGUCCCUACACUUAUUUCAAUGGCCCUGAAUAAAAUCUUUACUGUGCUUUAACA